CUUUGCUGGCGACCGGCGCACGGGUGAGUAACACGUAUCCAACCUGCCGAUGACUCGGGGAUAGCCUUUCGAAAGAAAGAUUAAUACCCGAUGGCAUAGUUCUUCCGCAUGGUAGAACUAUUAAAGAAUUUCGGUCAUCGAUGGGGAUGCGUUCCAUUAGGUUGUUGGCGGGGUAACGGCCCACCAAGCCUUCGAUGGAUAGGGGUUCUGAGAGGAAGGUCCCCCACAUUGGAACUGAGACACGGUCCAAACUCCUACGGGAGGCAGCAUG
rnacentral:rRNA from 1 species